AUUGAACGCUGGCGGCAGGCUUAACACAUGCAAGUCGAGCGAGCGGCGGACGGGUGAGUAAUGUCUGGGAAACUGCCUGAUGGAGGGGGAUAACUGCUGGAAACGGUAGCUAAUACCGCAUACGAUCAGAUGUGCCCAGAUGGGAUUAGCUAGUAGGUGGGGUAAUGGCUCACCUAGGCGACGCUCCCUAGCUGGUCUGAGAGGAUGAGCGGCCACACUGGAACUGAGACACGGUCCAGACUCCUACGGGAGGCAGCAGUGGGGAAUAUUGCACAAUGGGCGCAAGCCUGAUGGAGCCAUGCCGCGUGUGUGAAGAAGGCCUUCGGGUUGUAAAGCACUUUCAUCGAGGAGGCGGUAUUCGCAGAAGAAGCACCGGCUAACUCCGUGCCAGCAGCCGCGGUAAUUC
rnacentral:rRNA from 1 species